CUUGGUCAUUUAGAGGAAGUAAAAGUCGUAACAAGGUAACCGUAGGUGAACCUGCGGUUGGAUCAUUACCGAUUUUGCCGGGGGUCGAGUCAUUUUGAUUCCCCUUGGCGAUAAACCACUGUGCACUGAAUGUAUUUUGGGCUCUGCCCAGCAUUAUGAACCAACGAACCAAUUUGUCUUGAUUUCUAAAUAGAAACAACUUUUGACAACGGAUCUCUUGGCUCUCGCAACGAUGAAGAACGCAGCGAAAUGCGAUACGUAAUGUGAAUUGCUUUCCGUGAAUCAUUGAAUCUUUGAACGCACAUUGCACUCUUUUAGAGUAUGCCUGUUUGAGAAUCUAUUGUAUUCAUUUUUGUGUUUGUCUUUGUGGUAUCCAGUAAGCAACGCAAAAGAUGUGGGCUUCCCCUUGGGUUGCUUCAAAUAGAUUGCUCUGCUUGUAGAAACUGACGACGUUUUCACACCCUGCAGAAAAGUGUUUGAAUGAACUUUGUUCUUAAUAUGCUGAAUAUGUAGGAGAAAAUAGAGGUUUUUAUUUGCAUUUGCAAGUGACAUAAAGUGAGAUAUUGUUACAAUAUGACAUGAUAUGUUACUGUAAAGUGAUAUCACUCACAUGAUACUCACUGAACCUUGGUCUCAAAUCAGGUAGGAAGACCCGCUGAACUUAAGCAUAUCAAUAAGCGGAGGA
rnacentral:rRNA from 1 species